AGCGCGACCGAGGCGGAGGCUGUCAAGCAACUUUGUCUAUCAAACUUCCAAGUUUUGAACGAUCGCAAAAGGAAGGAGAAGCUGGAGUAAGGGGAACAACGGAUAAGAAAAGACAAUUGUAUUUUGACGUUGUCGUGAUGAAAAUCUAGAGACUUCGACGCUCACUUUGUGGCCAAACAUUGUGAUAAGAGGUUUUUCCUGGAAUCUGUGUCUCUCUGAGAACGGCGGAGGUGGGGAGAGGAAAGAUUAUCCUGAGACUGACACACAGGACAGGACAGGAGCCUAGUUCACCAGAGACCGACGCAGCAUACAGACCUGAGGAGGACCAACACUAGCAACAACCUUCUGUCUGGCCUCCCUUUCUCUCUCCCUCCUCCAGUCCACCCAUGCUCUGUGAGGCUCUCUAUCCUCUCCUGUCCCUGGGCAUAAUGCUCCAUCUCUACUGCUGAGCUCUCCCUUACCCCACCUUACCCCCUAACCUUACCCCACCAUGACCAGUCUGAAGCGGUCUCAGACGGAGCGUUCGGUGGGCGGCUCGGUACCUGCCUCUGAUGAAUUCUACACCCGUCGCUUGCGCCUCCCCAACGGUGGCGCCCCCCCACCUCGCUCCGAGAGCACCCACCUCACCUCCUCUUCCUCAUCCGGCUCCUCUUCCUCCUCCACCCCGGGGGUUCCCAAGAUGGGGGUCAGGGCCCGCGUGGCGGACUGGCCCCCCAAACGGGAUGGAACGGGCGGGGUGUGGCACAUCACCGUAGAUACGGACUCCCCGAGUUCCACCAUGUCAUCUUCAGGUGGCGGAGAAUGUGGGUCAGGCGGGUCGGCCGGGGAACGCGGGUCGGCCGGGGAACGCGGGUCGGCCGGGGAACGCGGGUCGGCCGGGAGCGGAGAAAGAGAACGGAGCUCGGGUUCAGGCUCGGCGACCACGGCCCAUAGCAACCUGUCAGCUAAACUGGGCCACCUGAUCAGCCCUCAGGACUCCUCGAUGCUCCGGAACAUCCACAACACCCUGAAGAGCAAGAUGCACCACAGCAGACAUCACAGCAAAGACAACCGCUACCUGUCGCCAGACGGCUACCAGGGCUCGCCGCGCAAAGGCAUGAGGCGUAUCCGCCAGCGCUCCAACAGUGACAUCACUAUCUCUGAGCUGGAGGGUGACGGGGGCGAGGGCUGGUCCUUCUCCGGCUGGACGCCCAUGCACCGAGAGUACGGAAGCACCUCCUCCAUAGACAAACAUGCAGGCUCAGGGGAGAGCUUCUUUGAUAUGCUCAAGGGCUAUACGUCCCAGGAGGCUCCUGAUCAACGCAGCCCGGCGCCGGACAGACUUGGUGAGCUGCUGACGGUGGCCCCGCACAAACAGGCUGCCCUGGAUCUACCUGAUGGACCCCAGGGUCCUACCAGAGGUAGCCCCGCCAGUCGCCUGAAGGAAAGAGAGAAACAUCUGAAGAGGAGGUCCAAGUCGGAGACUGGAGGGGAAUCCAUCUUCAGGAAGCUCCGCAGCGUCAAGGCCGAGGGUGACUCGUCCCGGGCUGGGUCUGACGUGGAGGAUGGGGGGCGGGAGGACGUCAUCGGCCCCCCUCCAAAACCCUGGUCUUGUCAGAAAGGCUUUGCUCACUUUGACGUGCAGAGUAUCCUCUUCGACCUCAACGAGGCCAUCCAGGGUCGACAGUCCGGCGGGAAACGCAAGAACACCACCACGGGCGCCUCCGCUGCGGCCGCUGCCUCGGCCUCCGCCACUUCCUCGCUCUCGUCCAAUCAGAGUGGGGUAUGCGGCGGGGGCGGGUCUCCGUGCGGGUCCCAGGAGGAGCUGAGUGGGAAGGAGGCGGGCGCGGGACAGGGUGGGACUCACACCACUAACCCUGCCCUAGACCCUGGUGAUGAGAAGAGCAACGAUCUGGUGCUGAACUGCCCUUGUUUCAGGAAUGAACUGGGAGGAGAGGGAGAGAGGAACAUUGGCCUCUCUAAACGGCAGGGUAGUAUUGGCAGUGGGGGCAGCUCCAGUGGCUCUGGGGGGGGAAGUGGCUCAGAGGAGGGGCCCCUGGAGACCUCUCUCCCCCACUUCACCAACGCCGGGGUGUCGGUGCUGGAGGCCCCUAAAGACGGACAGGGACAGCAUGCUGAUAGGGCCAAACGAUCUGUGGAGCACUGCGACCUGGGGUCUUAUUACUACAGGAAAUACUUCUAUCUGAGAGAGCAUUGGAACUACCUGGGUGUAGAUGAGACUCUGGGUCCAGUAGCAGUGAGUUUGAGGAGAGAGAAGCUAGAAGAACACAAGGAGCAUGGACAGCAGUACAACUACAGAGUUAUCUUCAGAACCAGCGAGCUCACCACCCUGCGUGGGUCUAUCCUGGAGGAUGCGGUGCCGUCUACCUCAAAGCACGGCCUGGCGCGGGGUUUACCCCUCAAAGAGGUGCUAGAUUACCUGGUUCCAGAGCUGAACGCCCACUGUCUUAGACUGGCUCUCAACACACCUAAAGUCACAGAGCAGCUGAUGAAGCUGGACGAACAGGGGUUGAGUUUCCAGUUGAAGGUGGGGGUGAUGUACUGUGCGUCGGGACAGAGCAGUGAAGAGGAUAUGUAUAAUAAUGAUUCAGCAGGUCCUGCUCUGGAGGAGUUCCUACAGCUGCUGGGGGAGAGGGUCCGACUGAAGGGAUUCACCAAGUACCGAGCCCAGCUGGACACUAAGACUGACUCCACAGGGACCCACUCCCUCUACACCACCUAUAAGGACUAUGAGGUGAUGUUCCAUGUCUCCACCAUGCUGCCCUACACACCCAACAACAAACAACAGCUCCUGAGGAAGCGUCACAUAGGGAAUGACAUAGUGACCAUCGUUUUCCAGGAGCCUGGGGCUCAACCCUUCACCCCCAAGAACAUACGCUCUCACUUCCAACACGUGUUCGUAGUGGUGAGAGCACACCAACCCUGCUCUGACAACACCUCCUAUAGCGUGGCGGUCACUCGUUCACGUGACGUCCCGUCCUUCGGCCCUCCCAUCCCAGAGGACGUGUCCUUCCCCAAGUCCUCCGUGUUCCGGGACUUCCUAUUGGCCAAGAUCAUCAACGCAGAGAACGCCGCCCACAAAUCGCAGAAGUUUCGCGCCAUGGCGACGCGGACACGUCAGGAGUACCUCAGAGACCUGGCAGAGCGCCACACCACGUCGACCCCCAUCGACCCGUCUGGGAAAUUCCCCUUCAUCUCAUUGGCUCACAAGAGGAAGGAGAAGAGCCGGCCGUACGCGGGAGCAGAGCUUCGGAGCCCCGGCGCCAUCACGUGGGCGGUCCACGCCGAGGAUCAUGGGGCGGGAGGAGAGCUCGAAGCACUAUUGGCUAUCUCCAACGACUUCCUCAUCCUAUUGGAUCAGGAGGCCAAGGCUGUGGUGUUUAACUGUGCUACUAAGGAUGUGAUUGGCUGGACGCUGGGGAGUCCUGCCUCCAUGAGGAUCUUCUAUGAGAGAGGGGAGAGUGUGUCUCUGAGGUCUGUUAGUAACAACACAGAGGACUUCAGAGAGGUGGUGAAACGACUCGAGUACCUGACUAAGGGUUGUGAGACGUCUGAGAUGACACUACGUCGUAACGGGCUUGGCCAGCUGGGGUUCCAUGUCAACUACGAGGGCAUCGUGGCAGAGGUGGAGUCGUACGGGUACGCCUGGCAGGCGGGGCUGAGGCAGGGCAGCCGAUUGGUCGAAAUCUGCAAGGUUGCCGUGGCGACACUGACCCAUGAACAGAUGAUUGACCUGCUGAGGACGUCAGUCACCGUCAGGGUGGUCAUCAUCCCACCACACGAAGACGCUACCCCACGCAGAGGUUGCUCUGAGCUCUACCGUAUGCCAGUGGUUGAGUAUAAGGGGAGUGGUGAGAGUGGUUCGUUUGACUACAAGUUCCCGUUCCGCAGCAAAGACAACAAGUGGCAGAGAACCUCCAGUAGUCCCCAGCAGUCCCUGACGGCCUCCCCCCAGCCGCACACCCCCAACCGGGCCGUCAGCCUGGGGAGCUCUGGGGGGAAGACCCUGUCUGCUGAACGCCCAGAGAGAAACGCUGCUAUCCCACGCAGUGUUAGUAGUGAUGGACGGCCACUGGAUACCAAGAGAAUGUCUCCGGGCAGUGAGAACUAUGCCGUAACCUCCUCUCUGGCUCUGGGCCGUUCUCCUCACAACCGCUCUUCCCCCUCCAACCUCUCCUGCUCCACUGACCCCUCACAGGGCUCACAGCACUGGAGGACUCAGAAGUCUAUGCCUGAGGGGUUCGGAGAACGCAGACAACACUCUCCUUUAUCUACGGAGCGACAGGUGGUGGGAGAAGGCGGGGCUAGCAGCAAAUCCACACCUAAUUGGCCAAGAGUAGAGGAAGGGGGUGGGUCCGACAGAGGUUCUACAGAUUCUCCUGUGUCUAAGUCUGGUCCUGGGUACUCCGGAGCUCCACGCAUCCAGAGGCAGGAGCAGGUCAUCCACCACUCCCCCAAGAAGAGCUCCCAGCCUGAGGGUCCCUACUCCAGCAGUAACACCCUGUCCAGCACGGCCUCCAGCGGGGGCCACAGCGACACCGACAAGUGGUCCGACCUGGGGGGCCCCGGAGCACCAGGGGAGGCCACUGACUCUGAACCCAACGGCCUGGGAGGGGGUUACCUCCAUGGGGCCUCGGCCGACAGCGGGAUAGACACCUCGUCUUACGGAGGGGGCCACUCACACCCCCACCACGGGAGUUCUAGUUGCCUCUUGGCUCCUGGGGGUAGAGAGGGGAGGGAUAGAGCUCCAUCCCCCUGGCAUAGCCCCACUGAGGGGGACAGGAGGGUGCUAGAGAGGUCCACGCCAGCCGCGGAGUCCCCACAACCCCCAGUGGAGAGGGGGGAGAGAGGAGAGGGGACGGCUAGGACUCCUCCUACACACCUAUUGGUUAGAGAUUGCAGCUUGUACAGUCUGAGUGAUGCUGGGUCACACUCCAGCUCCAGAGGCCAUUCUGGCCACAGUUCCCCCCGUGAAGAGUCCUCUUCCUCUGCCACCUCCCCCUGCUCCCAGACGUCGGUCUCCCCCGGCCCCAAGACCUUCUACCCCCGUCAGGGAGCCACCUCCAAGUACCUCAUCGGCUGGAGGAAGCCAGGUUCCACCAUCAACUCUGUUGACUUCGGAGACAACCGCAGGAAGUCCCCAGGGGAGAGUGGAGGAGAGGGGGGUGGAGGAGGGGGUCAGAGCAGACCCCAUCACUCCCCCCAGCCACACCUCACCCACGCUAAGACCACUGCAGAGGAUGAUAUGAAGAGACUGAGUCCAGACAGCCCUCUGAAACACAGACGGCACAAGGUUAAGGAAAAGUCCUCCUCAGGCCAGCCCCCUACCCGUCGAUCACUCCACCGGACCCUGUCUGAUGAGAGUAUCUACCGGGGCCAGCGUGUCCCCUCUCUGAAGCUGGGGGACCUAGAACCAGACCCCAGCCUGGCUAGUAACGUGUUGUUCAGCUGCUCCACGUUGCCACGCUCUCCCACCACCCGUGGGGUGCCUCUCAGACGACCUUCGUACAAACUGGGGAUCAAACUCCAUGGUGACCUGUCUGCGUCUGACACGUCAUUGGCUGAGAUGGCUGAGCGUCACCGCCACCCCCUCCCCCAGGAGCUGAUGCCCCUCCCCCCCUCUGAGAGCAGGGACAGCCCUCUGGACUGGACCCACCUGGUGGAUGUGGCCAGCACCUUUGAGAUCCAGAGAGGGUUUGUGUUCAGUGAUUCUAACCCCAGAGGUAGUGGAGCCUCCAGCCCUCACCAGACACAGCCCAGCCUGGAGAUACAGCUUGGUCCUCUAUCCAGACCCUCAUCCAGGUAACCCACACCUGGUACAGCCUGGCCCUCUAUCCAGGUAACCCACACCAGAUACAGCCUGGCCCUCUAUCCAGGUAACCCACACCAGGUACAGCCUGGCCCUCUAUCCAGGUAACCCACACCAGGUACAGCCUGGCCCUCUAUCCAGGUAACCCACACCAGAUACAGCCUGGCCCUCUAUCCAGGUAACCCACACCAGGUACAGCCUGGCCCUCUAUCCAGGUAACCCACACCAGGUACAGCCUGGCCCUCUAUCCAGGCAUCAUAGUUAUUACUGGAUGUGUUUUUAGAUGAUGCCAGAUCUCACAUCCUGACUACUCAUAGUUAUUACUAGAUGUGUUUUUAGAUGAUGCCAGAUCUCAUGUGGUUGGAUGUGUGUUCGUCACUCUUCCCCCAGUGAGGGUCCUGCAGGUUUGGAGAGGAAGUUGACCAAGCUGGAAGCCAUGGUUAGGAUGCUGCAGGAUGACCUGAAGAAGGAGCGUGAGGAGAAGCAGCGUCUCCAUCUACAGAUCAAGAUGCUCUGGGAAGAUAACCAGCGGCUGCAGGAGGAGUCCCAGAGCUCUGCUGCCAAGCUCAAGAAGUUCACAGAGUGGGUUUUCAACACCAUCGACAUGAACUGAGACAGAGAGGAGAGGAGAGGAGAGGAGAGGGGAGGAAGAGGAGAAGAGGAGGAGGAAGUGAUGAAAGGAAGCGCGAGAAGGGAAGGAAGAGGGAGAAGAGGAGGAGAGAGUGAGGAAGGGGAAGAGAGUGAGAAGAGGAAGAGAGAAAGUGAUUGUCCUUGACUACUAGCCAAACAAAGGGACCAGUACCAACCACCCUAAAACCAUUUCCCCUUCUCCCUGGAACUCACUGAAGGAUGUAUUCCAACCCCCAUGUCUCCUUCUUACCCUCGGUCUUCAGUAAAGUUCCCUUCUCACACUCAGGACCAGAGCCUAGAAGGACAAUGUUCUUAUGUUAAAUAAUACUGUCCUCACACACUGGCUGAGGAGGUGUGUAUUUGUGAUGUGGUUUCAGUACUGGCCAGAAAUACUGUAGCUCAGAGGACUAGAGCGUUCCCUCCUCGUCUCGUCUCCUCAUCUCGUCUCCUCGUCUCCUUCCACAGUGUCUGAGCUGACUUCACUCUGGGAGUGGUAGGAAGACAGAGAGAGUUAUGUUUACCCAGAUAGCCUCAGUGUCUGUACAGUACAUCUCUUCAGCUGAGGCCUCAGAACAUAGACCACACUAACUGUAACAGCCCCUGUGGAAGCUGGAAUUGCCCCUCCUUCUCUCCUCCCUCUCCUUCUCUCCUCUCUCUCCCUCUCUCCUUCUCUCCUCUCUCUCCCUCUCUCCUUCUCUCCUUUCUCUCCUCUCUCUCCUUCUCUCCUCUCUCUCCUUCUC